rnacentral:tRNA from 1 species
GGCUUAGUUGAUUAAAGCGCCGGUCUAGCGAAUACGGAGUCGUGGGUUCGAAUCCCAC